rnacentral:misc_RNA from 1 species
GAACGCACCUUGCACCCUUUGGCAUUCCGAAGGGUAUGCUCGUUUGAGUGUCAUUGUACUCUCACACUUCCGAUCUUUGGAUUGGGAGCGGUGGACUUGGGUGUUGCUGCUUACUGUGGCUCACCUCAAAUCGAUUCGUGCACCUCUUGGUUGGACAUAGUACGGCGUGAUAAGUGUCUUCGCCGGCACCUCAUUCGAGGGUGGCUGAUCGGGAGCUCUGUGCUUCAAACCGUCCUCGGACGACAACUGACAACUUGACCUCAAAUCGAGUAGGACUACCCGCUGAACUUA